AAAAUGAAUAUGUUCUAUGAUGAAUACAAAAUGAAAGAUUUUAUGCAUGCAAUGCAAUAUGGAAUGAAUGCAGAAUGGAAUAUGGAUUCGGAUAUACUACAAAAUUAGUAAAACAGGAUGAAAGAAAUUUGGAUUCGGAUUUCUUGCUAGCAAAAAGGAUCGAUUGAAACGAGACUAGGAGAAUGUUGAUGAUUUUACCCCUUUCUUGGAUCCCCAUCUGGCUUAGGGUCGAAUUCCAAAGAAGGAAAUCUACUCAGAAGUACAGUCGUUAGAAAAGAAGAAAAGAGAUUGAAAAACAGGAUGAAGAAAUAUAAUCGUUAGAAUAGGAGAGAGGGCGGAGCGUUUGUUGACCUGCAAAAAAAAAAACUGAUAUAUAUUGCUAAACCUCUAUUACAUAGAGGAAAUCAGAUAGCACCUCUGGAGUCUGGACUGCUAUCUUUGAGACAAACUACUAUUUUUCUAUGAAAUGUCCAUAUCACCCUCUAACAAAUCUAAUUUUGACAGUUUUUUUGUGCAUCACCAAAACAAAGCCUAAAAUCGUUUCCACCUUUUCAUUUUCUUCUCUCGGCUGCUUUCCAUUCUCUCUGAACUCAUGGAGAGAUUGUCUCUCUGGAACUUCGAUCAGCGAAGAGUUUUAUUUAUUUUUGAAGAUUUCGUCUCCGGAUUAGUUAAAUCUCAUCAAUUUUUUGAUAUUUAUAGUUUGGUUAAUCCCGGCAGUUGACAUAAAAUUUCUUGGAUCUCUUAGUAGAGAUGAUUUAAAGAAGAUCUAUGGUGACAAUUAUCCUGAAUGGAUAUCUUUCCCUGUGUAAGAUCAGGUUGAUAUUAUGUCUAAAAUUCAUCUUCUUGUUCCUUUUAUCUUUUGUGUUGUCAUUGGUAUUCAUAAUUGAUGAGGAAGGUGAGGGUGAACAUCACGUUUCUUAGUUGAUUUUAUUGAUUGCUAGUAUAUGUCCAUUCUCCUUGUUAGCUGCA